rnacentral:lncRNA from 1 species
AUGCUCACCCUCCUCUAUGACGAGCAGUUGGCAGUGACAUCCUGCGAAACCGGAACUCUUGACUAUGUCAUGUCUCUCUGGAAGGGUAUGACAGAGCCUAGAAAAGAAAACCAAAAAUGUGUUCGUUGAGAAAACACGGAGAAGCGUGAUGGAGUCGUGUCCUCAGCCAGCAGGUAAAAGGAAAGGUGAGUCAAAGCAGAAUGCCAGCCCUUGUGUGAAUUGCAGCCAUGAUACAAAGCCAAUACUCUACUCCAUUUGAGAAAAAAGUGCUUAUUUUAGUAAGUGCUCUAACCAAGACAAAAGCUCUAAGGAUGAACUAAAAUUUUAAUGACAAUGAAAAAAGUUAAUUUGUGGGAUGAAUCUCUGCACAAGAUUCAUGUAACUUUCAGCAGGAAUAAGUCUGAUGCCUGUGCAAUGUUUUAAAUUUACAGAUGACAGAACUUUGGCCACUUUAGUUCUAUCCACCAUUAAGCUGUGAUAGACAUGGUUAUGUAUUGAUCUGUCAUGUUUUCCAACAGCCAUGUUGGUAGCUAAAGAUCACACUGCUAAGCAGCCCAAAGAUGAUACAUGAGCGAGUACAGCUUCUAAGGGGAUAAUUGUUCAACAAAGCGGCUUUCACUCGUGCACAUGUCCUGUAUAAUACCUGUCUUGGUUCAUUUGGGCAGCCACAACAAAUACUGUAAACCGAGCAGCUUAUAAGCAACAGAAACUUAAUUUUCAAGAUUAUAGAGGCUGAGAAAUCCAAGAUCAAGAUUUCAGCAGAUUUACCUUCUGCUGAGGAGCCAGUUUCUGCUUCAUGAAAUAGAUGGUGCCUACUACUUGUGUCUUCAUAUUGCGGAAAUGAGAGGCGGAACUUGGAGUCUCUUUUAUAAGGGCAAUGAUUCAUGAGCGCUCUGCCCUCAUGACCUAAUCACCUCCUAAAUGCUCCACCUCAGUUUCCAUUACCUUGGUGAUUAGGUUUCAGCAAAUGAAUUUGGGGGUCAACAGAAACAUUUAGGCCGCAACAACACUCCCAUCUCCCUUCGCCAACACUUCCCUCUGUUCUGGUGUCUACAGGGGAGAGAAGACAGAAAUGAAAGAUGCAGCAAAAGGAACAUGAACGACAAAAGGAACAGCUGAGACCAUGGUA